AACGGGUGAGUAACACGUGAGUAACCUGCCCUUGACUCUGGGAUAAGCCCGGGAAACUGGGUCUAAUACCGGAUAGGAGCGCCUGUCGCAUGACGGGUGCUGGAAAGAUCUUUCGGUCAUGGAUGGACUCGCGGCCUAUCAGCUUGUUGGUGAGGUAACGGCUCACCAAGGCGACGACGGGUAGCCGGCCUGAGAGGGUGACCGGCCACACUGGGACUGAGACACGGCCCAGACUCCUACGGGAGGCAGCAGUGGGGAAUAUUGCACAAUGGGCGAAAGCCUGAUGCAGCGACGCCGCGUGAGGGAUGACGGCCUUCGGGUUGUAAACCUCUUUCAGCAGGGAAGAAGCGAAAGUGACGGUACCUGCAGAAGAAGCACCGGCUAACUACGUGCCAGCAGCCGCGGUAAUACGUAGGGUGCGAGCGUUAUCCGGAAUUAUUGGGCGUAAAGAGCUCGUAGGCGGUUUGUCACGUCUGUCGUGAAAGUCCGGGGCUUAACCCCGGAUCUGCGGUGGGUACGGGCAGACUAGAGUGCAGUAGGGGAGACUGGAAUUCCUGGUGUAGCGGUGGAAUGCGCAGAUAUCAGGAGGAACACCGAUGGCGAAGGCAGGUCUCUGGGCUGUAACUGACGCUGAGGAGCGAAAGCAUGGGGAGCGAACAGGAUUAGAUACCCUGGUAGUCCAUGCCGUAAACGUUGGGCACUAGGUGUGGGGACCAUUCCACGGUUUCCGCGCCGCAGCUAACGCAUUAAGUGCCCCGCCUGGGGAGUACGGCCGCAAGGCUAAAACUCAAAGGAAUUGACGGGGGGGCCCGCACAAGCGGCGGAGCAUGCGGAUUAAUUCGAUGCAACGCGAAGAACCUUACCAAGGCU
rnacentral:rRNA from 1 species